AACGAACGCUGGCGGCAUGCCUAAUACAUGCAAGUCGAACGAUCACUUCGGUGGUAGUGGCGCACGGGUGCGUAACGCGUGGGAAUCUGCCCUUGGGUUCGGAAUAACGUCGGGAAACUGACGCCAAUACCGGAUGAUGACGUAAGUCCAAAGAUUUAUCGCCCAGGGAUGAGCACGCGUAGGAUUAGCUAGUUGGUGGGGUAAAGGCCUACCAAGGCGACGAUCCUUAGCUGGUCUGAGAGGAUGAUCAGCCACACUGGGACUGAGACACGGCCCAGACUCCUACGGGAGGCAGCAGUAGGGAAUAUUGGACAAUGGGGGCAACCCUGAUCCAGCAAUGCCGCGUGAGUGAUGAAGGCCUUAGGGUUGUAAAGCUCUUUUACCCGGGAUGAUAAUGACAGUACCGGGAGAAUAAGCCCCGGCUAACUCCGUGCCAGCAGCCGCCGUAA
rnacentral:rRNA from 1 species